AAGUCGUAACAAGGUUUCCGUAGGUGAACCUGCGGAAGGAUCAUUACCAAUUCGACCUUGGGUUUGGAAAAUGGCGUUUGCCGUUUUUCUGAAUUCCAUCCAACCAACCUUUGAUUGUGAACAAGGAUUCAAAAAAGUCUUCCCCGCAAAAACACAUUCGUGUGGGAUUGCAGGGGAGCAAUUUUAUCCAACCCCACUUAUCCGCACCGCGCGUGUGGAAAAAGCAAGCGUUGAGCUCCGAAACUGAAAAAAACACAAAAAUGUCAUGUACAACUUUUAACGGCGGAUCUCUUGGCUCGU
rnacentral:misc_RNA from 1 species